GAUGAAGAACGUAGCGAAAUUCGAUAAGUAAUGUGAAUUGCAGAAUUCAGUGAAUCAUCGAAUCUUUGAACGCACAUUGCGCCCGCCAGUAUUCUGGCGGGCAUGCCUGUUCGAGCGUCAUUUCAACCCUCAAGACCCCUUCGGGGGACUUGGUGUUGGGGACCGGCACAGGGGCCUGCCUGCUUGUCUUGCAGCGCCCUCGCCGCCCCCGAAAUGAAUUGGCGGCCUCGUCGCGGCCUCCCCUGCGUAGUAGCACAAACCUCGCAACGGGAACGUGACGGCGGCCACUGCCGUAAAACAACCCAAUUUUAUUAGAGUUGACCUCGAAUCAGGUAGGAAUACCCGCUGAACUUAAGCAUAUCAAUAAGCGGAGGA
rnacentral:misc_RNA from 1 species